ACUCAGAAUACCCCUGCCUGCGGCGACCUUGAGCCUCCUGACUUACUGAGCCUGAUGAGGCCUGCCCACGGGGGCGUUCACAGCUCCCUAGGGGCCUCCACUGAGCAGCCAGCUUUGACGCCACCGCUUUGGAGCCUCGCCUCAAGAACUGGCUGAGCGACAGCGAUCUUGGCAGGGAAGCGGAAGUGGUCAUGCCGAACCCAGCCUGUGCAACACCCGGCACUGCCAUCGCCCUGACACAGGAGGGGCUGCUUUUCCUUCUGACCUCAAACAGCUCCACGGAGAAGGGCUCAUGCCUUCCAGACCGUGGGCCUCAAUCCUGAAGGCUUCAGCCCACCUUGAGGAAUCUUUGGUAUCAUCGGAACCCAGCAGCUCAGGGGAACAAAGUCAGCAGCAGCAGGAACAACGCCUGGGCACCAGAAAGCAGCAUGGUACAGAAGGAGAAUGAGAGAAAAGGCAAGAAGCCCAGAGGCAGUUCUGGAACUUAGGGCACCUCUAAGCCCACAGCACCAAGUCCAGUAGGGAUUUUAAGGGUGGCUGGCACAACCAGGAUCAAGAAUGUGUCUUGGCCCAGCCAUCCUCGAUUGGGGUCUCUGGCUCCUUCUAGCCCCAUUGGCUGCCAAGGUAUCCAGCCAGUGGGUAGGGGUGAGUUACCCCAACUGGAGGGGCAGAUAGAAAUGUAAAAGUUUACCCUAUUGGUCACAACCAUGACUAGAAAUGUUGUGACUUCUGCACGCACUGCACUGCAGGAAGCCACUCCAUCUUUGGCAGGGAGGGAUGUCAUGCAACACUACGGACAUACUUAAACUGAAAAAAAAUAUUCCUACAAAGGGAAACACACUCUUACCAUAUAAUCCAGCAUUCAAACGCCUAGGCAUUUGCCCAAAUGAAUUUAAAGCUUACGUCCACACCAAAAUCUGCACACAGAUGUUUAUAGCAGCUCUAUUCUUAAUUCCAAAACUUGGAAGCAAGCAAGAUGUCCUUCACCAGGUGAAUGAGUAAGUCAACUGUGGUACAUCUAGACAAUGGAAUAUUAAUAGGAUUCAGGGCUAAAAAGAAAUGGGCUAUGAAGACAUGGAAAGAUAUGAAAGAAACUUAAAGGCACAUUACUAAGUGAAAGUAACCAAUCUGAAAAGACUGCAUACUGUACAAUUCCAACUUUACAACAUUCUGGGAAAGGAAAAACUAUGGAGGCAGUAAGAAGAUCAGUGGUUGCCAGGAGUUUAAGGGAGAGGGGGAUGAAUAAGCAGAGAUUCACAGAUCAUUAUGACUGUGAAAAUACUCUGUAUGAUACUAUAAUGGUGGACACAUAUCAUUAUACAUUUCUCAAAACCCAUACAACACCAAAAGUACAACACCAAGAGUGAAUUGUAAUGUAACCUGUGGACUUUGGGUGAUAAUGAUGUGUCAAUAUAGUUUCAUGAAUUAUAACACAUGUACCACUCUGCUGGUGGGGGAUGCAGAUAUGAGGGAGGAGGGUGGUCAGGAGUUAUAUAGGAACUCUUCUGUAUUUUCUGCUCAGUUUUACAGGGAACC
rnacentral:lncRNA from 1 species